GGUGGUUCUCAGAUGAUGCACCCUGGAAUGGGGUUCCCUCCUUUCUGGUUCUGAGGUGUGUCACCUGAGAACUGCC
rfam:Myotis lucifugus cont2.20817, whole genome shotgun sequence.